AUCCAGCUGACGAGUCCCGAAUAGGAUGAGAGGCGCGUCAUGUAU
rfam:Schistosoma mansoni strain Puerto Rico chromosome 2, complete genome